rnacentral:rRNA from 1 species
UAAUACGAAGGGAGCAAGCGUUGCUCGGAUUUAUUGGGCGUAAAGGGUGUGUAGGCGGUUUUAUAAGUUAGAUGUGAAAGCCCAGGGCUUAACCCUGGAAUUGCAUUUAAGACUGUAUUACUUGAAGUUCGAAGAGGUUAGCAGAAUUCCCAGUGUAGAGGUGAAAUUCGUAGAUAUUGGGAAGAAUACCAAUGGCGUAGGCAGCUAACUGGUCGACACUUGACGCUGAGGCACGAAAGCGUGGGUAGCAAACAGGAUUAGAUACCCUGGUAGUCCACGCCCUAAACGAUGUGUACUCGCUAUCGGAUAGUUUACUAUUCGGUGGCUAAGCUAACGCGAUAAGUACACCGCCUGGGGAUUACGAUCGCAAGAUUA